AUGGUUUGUGGGUACUCCGCACGUGGUGAUAUGGACUCUGCAAAGCGUCUCUUUGAAAUAGCAGUGGCAAAGGGAGCAGAAAACUCGGUCGUGUGUACAGCCAUGAUAUCUGGCUAUGCAAAAACGGGCAAUGCUGAUGAUGCUAGGGCCGUCUUUGAUGGAAUGAGAGUGCGGGAUGCUGCAACCUGGAAUGUGAUGAUUGGCGUGUAUUCAGGUGCUGGUCGGGCUGCAGAGGCUGUGGAUCUCUUCAAGAUUAUGCUGGAGACUAGAGCAAGGCCAAAGGUGGAGCCAAACCACACUACAAUCUCUAUUAUUGCAGCUGCAUGCGCGCAGUGUGGGUUACCGACUCAGGCUAGUUGGAUACAGGAUUAUGUGGAUCGUCAUAUGAUGUUGUUGAAUAGCCAUACUGUAGCUGCCCUCAUUGAUAUGCACUCAAAGUGUGGUAAUAUAGAAAGGGCACUUGACUUGUUCUGCAGCUGGAGGCAAAGAGAUCUUAUCUGUUAUAGUUCUAUGAUCUCUGCGUUGGGCAUGCAUGGCCGUGGAAAAGAUGCAAUUGCGGUUUUUAACGAGUUGUGUGACAAUGGCUUCGAUCCCGAUGAAAUCUGUUUUGUGUCAGUCCUCAAUGCUUGCAGUCAUACAGGUCUGAUUGAUGAGGGACGCCGAUACUUCAAGACGAUGAAGGAUGACUACAACAUUAUUCCUACUGUAGAACAUUACCUGUGCGUGGUGGACUUGCUUGGUCGUGCGGGAUGCAUUGAUGAAGCUUACCAAAUGAUCACACAUGAGAUGCCAAAGGACAUUGAACCACAUGCUGGAAUUUGGGGCGCUCUGUUAAGUGCCUGUAGGACUUACUCAAAUGUCGAGAUUGGGGAGGUGGCAGCAAGUCACCUAUUCAAGUUGGAACCAAAUAACGUGGGGAAUUAUGUCCUGCUUUCAAAUAUAUACGCAAAUGCAAAGAAGUGGGAUGGAGUCCAAAAGGUUCGAGCCCUCCUGAGGAGACAAGGAAUGAAGAAGCCGCCUGGGUGGAGCCAAGUUGAUGCUGAAGGCAGUCUUAGAGAGUUUAUCACCGGUGAGCUUGACAGUGUUCUAGAGGCGGUCUUGGAGAUACUGAAUUGGGAGCUCAAGGAUCAUGGUUACAAGCCAAUCAUAGAAGAUGAAUGA
rnacentral:rRNA from 1 species